GAUGAACGCUGGCGGCGUGCCUAAUACAUGCCAGUCGAGCGAACAGACGAGGAGCUUGCUCCUCUGACGUUAGCGGCGGACGGGUGAGUAACACGUGGAUAACCUACCUAUAAGACUGGGAUAACUUCGGGAAACCGGAGCUAAUACCGGAUAAUAUAUUGAACCGCAUGGUUCAAUAGUGAAAGACGGUUUUGCUGUCACUUAUAGAUGGAUCCGCGCCGCAUUAGCUAGUUGGUAAGGUAACGGCUUACCAAGGCAACGAUGCGUAGCCGACCUGAGAGGGUGAUCGGCCAAACUGGAACUGAGACACGGUCCAGACUACUACGGGAGGCAGCAGUAGGGAAUCUUCCGCAAUGGGCGAAAGCUUGACGGAGCAACGCCGCGUGAGUGAUGAAGGUCUUCGGAUCGUAAAACUCUGUUAUUAGGGAAGAACAAAUGUGUAAGUAACUAUGCACGUCUUGACGGUACCUAAUCAGAAAGCCACGGCUAACUACGUG
rnacentral:rRNA from 1 species